rnacentral:rRNA from 1 species
GUAGUCUCGCACAGAUGCAUAUCAAUAAGCGGAGGAAAAGAAACUAACAAGGAUUCCCCUAGUAACGGCGAGUGAAGCGGGAAGAGCUCAAAUUUGAAAUCUUAAAGGGUUUCCCUUUACGAAUUGUAGUUUAAAGAAGUGUUUUCUGUUGAGGUUUUGGUAAAAGUUCUUUGGAAUAGGACAUCAUAGAGGGUGAGAAUCCCGUAUUUGACCUUUACUUUCAACUUUGUGAUACACUUUCAAAGAGUCGGAUUGUUUGGGGAUGCAGUCCAAAAUGGGUGGUAAAUUUCAUCUAAAGCUAAAUAUUGGCGAGAGACCGAUAGCGAACAAGUACCGUGAGGGAAAGAUGAAAAGAACUUUGAAAAGAGAGUUAAACAGUACGUGAAAUUGUCAAAAGGGAAGCGUUUGACACCAGUGUUGUUUUUCUGAAAAUCAAUUAAAGAACUGUUUAUGCUAAGCUUGUUUAGACUUUAUCAGCUAUCUGUUUAGUUUUGAGCUUUUCUUUAAUGCACUUUUCAGUUAACAAGUCAACAUCAAUUUCUUUUGCUGUAAAAAAGCUUGAGGAAGGUGGCUUGAGAUUCGUCUUAAGUGUUUAUAGCCUCUUGCCUAUGCAGUCGGAGAGAUUGAGGUCUGCAGCGUAGAUCCUUCGGGGCUAAAUGCAUUUGUGCUAAGUUAUAGCAUUUUAUAGACAACUUGUUGACUAUGAUUUGUCUUGUAGCUUACUCGCUUAUGUUAUUUUACCUACGCUUAGGAUGUUGAUCUGUAGUGCGUGCGC